CAAUUUUGUCAAUAAAAAAAAGGUAGAAAGGGAAAGUGACCGACCAAAAUCAGCGACCGAGGUGAUCUGCAAAAUUCUCAAUCAUCAAAGAUCAAUACAACAAUAAUCUGAGUGCUUAGAUUAUCUGAUAGUUUUGCAAAGAUCAAUGGCUUCUCUUUAGGUUAGUUUCGAGCAUCCAUUUCCGUCAGAUCAGAUCCAGAUUAUGUUCAUGAAAGACAGCUAUAUCUAGCUAAUAUGAAUUCCGGACUCGUCUAUUCACAUCGAUAUAUAAUUAUCUCCGGAUGAGAAAGCAAGGAUUUUAACUUGGACGCAUCAUGCAACUUUGUAAGGUUAUUACUCUCUGAUAUAAGAGAAUGAAGGGCCAUUGCUUUCUGGAAAUGCUCUCUUAUCGUGUUAAAAGGUAAAUUCAGUGUUGAUGUGCUAUUUUUUUUUGUAUUGAAAAACUUAUUUAUAGAGGUCAUAGUCUCUUGGGGUUAGGUGGAUAGAAAAUUUGACAAUAGGUUUGUGAUCAGGCUAGAUUUUAAAAUUUGAGAAUAUCUUUUUUUUUUUUCAGAUUGUUAUGGAAUUAAUAUUUUAUAUGCAAUUAAUUUAGCAUCUAAAUUGGAAUAUGCUUUAUAGUUUUAUAAAUAAGUUUCCAAAAAUAUAGGGCUAGUUAAAAGCUUCGGAAAUUAGUAUAUGAUGUAUAUGGAAUAGUUUUCCAUACUAAAACAACUAAAUCACUUCGAUAAUUAGUAUCCGAUAUUUAUGAUUUGAAUAUAUGCGAAAUCUCAGAAUUACCGUAAAGAUAACGAUAAUGAUGAGAUUUCAAUCUUUGUUUGUUAUGGUUGUUUUCCAAAUGUGGAACCAAGAUUGUAAUCUUUUUAUUAUAUUGGACGAUUUUUAAUUGAUGAGAUUGAUAUUGUUAGAGGUGUAAUUAUUGGACGAUUUUUAAUAUGAUUCAAAUUAGGGAAUCCAAAGAGCGCUUAUGGUUGUU